CGUAACACGUGAGAAAUCUGCCCCAAACUUGGGAAUAACAGUCGGAAACGACUGCUAAUACCGAAUACCUUCACGACGUCGCAUGGCGAUGUGAAGAAAGCUUUAUGCGGUUUGGGAGGAUCUCGCGGCCUAUCAGCUAGUUGGUGAGGUAACGGCUCACCAAGGCAUCGACGGGUAGCUGGUCUGAGAGGGUGAUCAGCCACACUGGGACUGAGACACGGCCCAG
rnacentral:rRNA from 1 species